AACUGCCUCACAAGCAUCCCAGAGUCCAGUCAGCAGACAGCAGAGGAGACUGUCAGCAGACCACCUUGGAGGGGAUGCUAGGAGCUGCCGAAUGUGUGAUUCAAAGAUUAAUUCCAUGUGUUUGGAGAAGAAGCCCUAUCCUCAACACAAAGGUUGGCCACAUUCCAGCCAAGGUAGCACGGAGUGAAGGCCCGCGGAGGGAGUGCUGGGCUUUCCUGAACUACUUCAGUACACCUUGCUGUGCCUCGGCCUGCUGUGUUUCAUCCCCAUGGCUGUCCUCAGUGAUGUGCAUGGUCACUGCUCCCUUCACCGCUGAGAAGACGGGCACAGGACAGUCAGGGGACGUGUCCAGGGUCCCACAGCAGGAAGGGCUGGAGCCAGAAUGUGGUCUGAGAGGCUGGAUAUACAAAGAGACAAUGGCGUGACCAUCUGUACAAAUGGAACUAUGGCCCACAACCUGAAGCAGCCAGCCCAGGAAGCCAACCCAUUACCUGCAGCAGCCAGGCUGGACGCUGGCCUGCCCUCGAUUGUACUCACAUCAUUGGUCUUAUGGGGAAAUUUUAAGACCUCCCACUUGCAAGGUUUUAUAACCCUCUAUGGAAUUUUGAAGAAAGAGUAAAAUGCAUCCAAAAAAAAAAAAAACUAAACUGGAUAAAUUCUAAGGCCUCUUCAGGUCUUAAGAUGGCCAUUUUCUAGGUCCUCUUGUUGCAGCAGUGAAAUCCACAAACAUGGACAAGUCAGUCAAUUACGUACCUUUCAGAGAAAACUUCUGACUUAGGAAUUCCAGCUAUUUCGCCCAACCCAUAUUAGACUGUGUUAUAAAGACAUGGUAAAUUACAUCACGAAGGGAAGAGCAGAGGAAACAUAAUAUUCCUUCAAGACCCAUCAGCUCAGAUGUUAGCAGAACACUCCUAAGGAGGAAAACAAGAAAUUUUGGGUUUGAACUUGGUACUUCCCAGCAGCCCUGGGAGUGGGGUCAGAAGCCCUGCUGGUGGGGGCGAAGAACUCUGAGGAUCAAAGAUGUUGAUCAUCACCAGGAAGCUCACUGCAGCAAUAAUCAUGAUGCACUGAGCCUGACAAGCUGGAUUUGGGGAAGUAAAGGAAACCAGGUAAGAAGGGGCUGAAAGAAUUGGUUUCCACCGUGACCUUUGAACCCUCGGGCGAGUUGUCAACCUCACUGAGGAUGAGUGUCCUCGAUAUCAAACGAGGUCACUUUACUCGCAAGCUUGUUGUGAGGACUGAAUGAAACCUUUUCUUUUUUCUUGGAGUUUCAGAGCAACGUCCCUGAGCCGAGCCCCACACCAGCUUGAGCCCUAUCGUCGGUCAAUACACGGUGCUUUCUCCCCUCCCCUCUGCACUCCAGCUUACUCUGCAGUCAGGAGGUGGCACCAGGAUCCCCUUUAAGACUUUGCCACUUGGGCCAGCUGUGCCUCUGUGAAAUUCCCUGUUUAUAUUGCAGGCCACAAGGACGAGCUGAGAAAUGGCUUCCAGUCACCAUCUAGAUUAGAAAGCCUAUAUUUCAAAUAUAGAGAUAUCAAUUAUACCUGUGAAAAGACAUUAAAUCCCACAGGGCUGUAAUUCCUAGACUACAAAUUUCAUCUUGCACCAAAUUUUAUUAUUUCAUUUAUAAUUCGAAUUCUGCAAAUCUAAGAGUGUCUGGCUCAAAAUUAUAAUACCUACAACUAUUCCAAAAGAUUCUUUAAUUGCUUUACUGGAACCAGUAGCUGAUUCAAAGCAAAACGAAACAAAAUUCCUCCUUUCUCUGAUUUAGCGAAUCAAUGAUCUAACUGAACUCAUUUUUGGACUGAGUUUGUGGCACUUGCAGCCCUGAGGGACACACUCCCCCACCACACUGAGCCUGCACUCCCAUCAACGCAAAUGAACAUUUUGCUUAUUCAGAUUGGGGGGGGUGGUGAAGGAAGUCACAAAAGGGUUAAUAUAUAUGGCAUUUCGUUGUAAUAUGUACUCACUGCUAACUAAAUUAAAAGAGAUGUGUGUUAUUAAAAACUCCAUCUUAAGAAAGAUAAGUAACAGAAAUCAGAGUUCAGAUCCGUUGUUACUGAGUUUCCAACCAACACCUGUGAGUUAAACCUACAGCCACCCUGAAAAUGGUUCAUAUUUUCAAAAGCUUCAUCAAAGAUGAGCUGCACUAAAGAUUCAUAUUACAUAUCAUGCUGCAAUAAGAAAAUCAAAUAAGGCCUUUCCAUAUUCAAUAAUAAAGUUUAAAGAAAAGGAAUAUUUGUUUAGCCAGUUAGCCAGAAAUUAGAUGUAUCAGAAUACAUCAUUCUUUGAGCAUUUUAGAAAAUCAGGGUAUUUCUACAUUGUGUUUUUCUUUGUAAGCCCUCAAAAAAUAUAGAGAAUAUUCUUGAAA
rnacentral:lncRNA from 1 species